CCCUUUCACCUCACUUUACCUUUUUCACUUCUCAGACUCAUCCACACACCCUCAAUCUCUUUCCCCCUUUCACCUUCCUUUCACGUCAGAUUCACGCGAACAACCUGCUUCGAAUUGAACUCCGGCCGCCGUUGAAGACCACGCGAACAACCUGCUCGGAUUUGAACCCAAGCCACCGUCGAACAAGCCCUAACCACGUCUGCUCGGGACAAAAAAAACCCCUAAUCACCAUCUCGAAAUCGGUACGCUUGCAACUGGAUAUGAUAGUGAUUCUCCGGCACCAAAUUUUGUUUCUGAAGAUGGUGUAAAACACAGAAGGGCAAGGAUAUUGGGAGGCGGUAGCAUGAUUAAUUAUGGGUUUUACUCGAGGGCCGAUGACUACUUCUACAAUAAUGCAGGUAAUCUAUAUCAGGGUACACUCAAUGGAAAGAAGUCAUGUCCUUUAGGUGACCCGACCCGAGCGUACGAUGAACAUUUGGAUUAAGGCAUCACCAAUAUGAAGAGAGGCUAGAAACUACCAUCUUCCGACAAGUUAAGUUGCGGCAGGUGCUUUUCGAUACAUAACAGGUCCGCGAGUCAAAUUGUAGUUUAACUCAUACAAUGUCAAACUACAAAUGUUUGUCAUCCCCGCCACAACUGCUAUGUAAUUUUUGGUUGUUUGAAUGUGAAUUACUGUUUAAUUUUUGUAUACUUAUGAACGUUUUGGUCAA